rnacentral:rRNA from 1 species
UACGAAGGGGGCUAGCGUUGCUCGGAAUCACUGGGCGUAAAGGGUGCGUAGGCGGGUCUUUAAGUCAGGGGUGAAAUCCUGGAGCUCAACUCCAGAACUGCCUUUGAUACUGAAGAUCUUGAGUUCGGGAGAGGUGAGUGGAACUGCGAGUGUAGAGGUGAAAUUCGUAGAUAUUCGCAAGAACACCAGUGGCGAAGGCGGCUCACUGGACCGGCAUCGACGCUGAGGUGCGAAAGCGUGGGGAGCAAACAGG